rnacentral:rRNA from 1 species
GAUGACCUCUGGCGGCGUGCUUAACACAUGCAAGUCGAACGAAGCACCUUGAUUUGAUUCUUCGGAUGAAGAUCUUGGUGACUGAGUGGCGGACGGGUGAGUAACGCGUGGGUAACCUGCCUCAUACGGGGGGAUAACAGUUAGAAAUGACUGCUAAUACCGCAUAAGACCACAGCACCGCAUGGUGCAGGGGUAAAAAACUCCGGUGGUAUGAGAUGGACCCGCGUCUGAUUAGGUAGUUGGUGGGGUAACGGCCUACCAAGCCGACGAUCAGUAGCCGACCUGAGAGGGUGACCGGCCACAUUGGGACUGAGACACGGCCCAAACUCCUACGGGAGGCAGCAGUGGGGAAUAUUGCACAAUGGGGGAAACCCUGAUGCAGCGACGCCGCGUGAGCGAUGAAGUAUUUCGGUAUGUAAAGCUCUAUCAGCAGGGAAGAAAAUGACGGUACCUGACUAAGAAGCACCGGCUAAAUACGUGCCAGCAGCCGCGGUAAUACGUAUGGUGCAAGCGUUAUCCGGAUUUACUGGGUGUAAAGGGAGCGUAGACGGAGUGGCAAGUCUGAUGUGAAAACCCGGGGCUCAACCCCGGGACUGCAUUGGAAACUGUCAAUCUAGAGUACCGGAGAGGUAAGCGGAAUUCCUAGUGUAGCGGUGAAAUGCGUAGAUAUUAGGAGGAACAUCAGUGGCGAAGGCGGCUUACUGGACUGAAACUGACACUGAGGCACGAAAGCGUGGGGAGC